rnacentral:rRNA from 1 species
UUCCGGUUGAUCCCGCCGGACCCGACUGCUAUCAGAGUGGGACUAAGCCAUGCGAGUCGACGUAGCAAUGCGUGGCGAACGGCUCAGUAACACGUAGUCAACAUGCCCAGGGGACGUGGAUAACCUCGGGAAACUGAGAAUAAACCACGAUAGGUCACGAUUUCUGGAAUGGAUCAUGGCCUAAAUCUACAUGGCCCCUGGAUUGGACUGCGGCCGAUCAGGCUGUUGGUGAGGUAAUGGCCCACCAAACCUAUAACCGGUACGGGCUCUGAGAGGAGAAGCCCGGAGAUGGGCACUGAGACAAGGGCCCAGGCCCUAUGGGGCGCAGCAGGCGCGAAACCUCUGCAAUAGGCGAAAGCCUGACAGGGUUACUCUGAGUGAUUUCCGCUAAGGGGAUCUUUUGGCACCUCUAAAAAUGGUGCAGAAUAAGGGGUGGGCAAGUCUGGUGUCAGCCGCCGCGGUAAUACCAGCACCCCGAGUGGUCGGGACGAUUAUUGGGCCUAAAGCAUCCGUAGCCGGUUCUGCAAAUCUUCCGUUAAAUCCAGCCGCUCAACGGAUGGGCCGCGGAGGAUACUACAGGACUAGGAGGCGGGAGAGGCAAGCGGUACUCAGUGGGUAGGGGUAAAAUCCUUUGAUCCAUUGAAGACCACCAGUGGCGAAGGCGGCUUGCCAGAACGCGCUCGACGGUGAGGGAUGAAAGCUGGGGGAGCAAACCGGAUUAGAUACCCGGGUAGUCCCAG